UACAGAGACCUCAAGCGUUAUCCGGAUUUAUUGGGCGUAAAGCGCGUGUAGGCGGAUAUGUUAGUCAGAUGUCAAAUCUUCGAGCUUAACUCGAAAACUGCAUUUGAAACGGCAUAUCUAGAGACAACGAGAGAUCAAUGGAACAUAUGGUGUAGCAGUGAAAUGCGUUGAUAUCAUAUGGAACACCAAAGGCGAAGGCAUUUGGUUGGCGUUGUUCUGACGCUGAGACGCGAAAGCGUGGGGAG
rnacentral:rRNA from 1 species